AUUGUCCCUCUCCCUUCCCAG
rnacentral:miRNA from 1 species